rnacentral:snRNA from 1 species
CUAGUCCGACUUUGUGAA